rnacentral:rRNA from 1 species
CGGACGGGUGAGUAACGCGUGGGGAACCUGCCCUGUACAGGGGGAUAACACUUAGAAAUAGGUGCUAAUACCGCAUAAGCGCACAGUAUCGCAUGAUACAGUGUGAAAAACUCCGGUGGUACAGGAUGGACCCGCGUCUGAUUAGCUGGUUGGCGGGGCAACGGCCCACCAAGGCGACGAUCAGUAGCCGGCCUGAGAGGGUGAACGGCCACAUUGGGACUGAGACACGGCCCAAACUCCUACGGAAGGCAGCAG